AUUGAACGCUGGCGGCAGGCCUAACACAUGCAAGUCGAGCGGAUGACGGGAGCUUGCUCCUUGAUUCAGCGGCGGACGGGUGAGUAAUGCCUAGGAAUCUGCCUGGUAGUGGGGGACAACGUUUCGAAAGGAAUGCUAAUACCGCAUCCGUCCUACGGGACACAGCAGGGGAACUUCGGGCCUUGCCCUAUCAGAUGCGCCCAGUUCGGAUUAGCUAGUUGCUGGGGUAAUGGCUCACAAAGGCGACGAUCCGUAACUGGUCUUAGAGGAUGCUCAGUCACACUGGAACUGAGACACGGUACAGACUCCGACGGGAGGCAGCAGUGGGGAAUAUUGGACAAUGGGCGAAAGCCUGAUCCAGCCAUGCCGCGUGUGUGAAGAAGGUCUUCGGAUUGUAAAGCACUUUAAGUUGGGAGGAAGGGCAGUAAGCUAAUAUCUUGCUGUUUUGACGUUACCGACAGAAUAAGCACCGGCUAACUCUGUGCCAGCCGCCGCAGUAA
rnacentral:rRNA from 1 species